AGCUCAAAUUUGAAAGCUGGCUCCUUCGGGGUCCGCAUUGUAAUUUGCAGAGGAUGUUUCGGGAGUGGCCCCCAUCUAAGUGUCCUGGAACGGACCGUCAUAGAGGGUGAGAAUCCCGUAUGGGAUGGGGUGCCCACGCCCGUGUGAAACUCCUUCGACGAGUCGAGUUGUUUGGGAAUGCAGCUCUAAAUGGGUGGUAAAUUUCAUCUAAAGCUAAAUAUUGGCCGGAGACCGAUAGCGCACAAGUAGAGUGAUCGAAAGAUGAAAAGCACUUUGAAAAGAGAGUUAAAAAGCACGUGAAAUUGUUGAAAGGGAAGCGUUUGCGAUCAGACUCGCCGACGGGGUUCAGCCUGCCUUCGGGCAGGUGUACUUCCCCGCCGGCGGGCCAGCGUCGGUUUGGGUGGCCGGUCAAAGGCCCUAGGAAUGUAACGCCUCUCGGGGCG
rnacentral:rRNA from 1 species